CACUGCCCUGCAUGGAGCCAUGUGGCAGGCUGCUUCCUUCUGGGCCUGAACCAACAGUCUGUGGGCUCCUGCUGAAAGAAGCCCUUGGGGGCCAGGCAGAGAGCUUGCUGAGCCCUGCUCAGCCCUGCAUCGGUGAGCCAGGACCCAGAGAACUCCAGGUGACUUUUAUUUCAGAUGGAAAAAAAUGGAGGGAAGAACUCGCAGCUCUGAAGCUUCCUCCUUCAGAGGCCCUGUCUUGCCGUCACCCAGCGGGCAUCUCACCUCCUCACAGGUCAGAAACUAGUUCUGUGCCCACUAUGCCCUGGAGUUCUGUUUGAUUUCCUUGUUUGAAAUAGUCUCUUGUUUUGUCAAGUCGGCAUUCAAAUCUUCAAUAAUCUUGACAGGUAGGAUGUAGGCGAGUAGGCAGAUAGGUAUAUGAUGCUUACAUACACAGAUGUAGGGAAU